rnacentral:rRNA from 1 species
CGGCGCGAUUCGCCCUUGAGUUUGAUCCUGGCUCAGGACGAACGCUGGCGGCACGCCUAACACAUGCAAGUCGAACGGAGAUAUUUUGGUUUACUGAGAUAUCUUAGUGGCGGACGGGUGAGUAACACGUGAGCAACCUGCCUCUGAGAGAGGGAUAGCUUCUGGAAACGGAUGGUAAUACCUCAUAACAUAACGAAGCCGCAUGACUUUGUUAUCAAAGAUUUAUCACUCAGAGAUGGGCUCGCGUCUGAUUAGAUAGUUGGUGAGGUAACGGCUCACCAAGUCGACGAUCAGUAGCCGGACUGAGAGGUUGAACGGCCACAUUGGGACUGAGACACGGCCCAGACUCCUACGGGAGGCAGCAGUGGGGAAUAUUGCACAAUGGGGGAAACCCUGAUGCAGCGAUGCCGCGUGGAGGAAGAAGGUUUUCGGACUGUAAACUCCUGUCUUAAAGGACGAUAAUGACGGUACUUUAGGAGGAAGCUCCGGCUAACUACGUGCCAGCAGCCGCGGUAAUACGUAGGGAGCGAGCGUUGUCCGGAAUUACUGGGUGUAAAGGGAGCGUAGGCGGGAUGGCAAGUCAGAUGUGAAAACUAUGGGCUCAACCCAUAGACUGCAUUUGAAACUGUUGUUCUUGAGUGAAGUAGAGGUAAGCGGAAUUCCUGGUGUAGCGGUGAAAUGCGUAGAUAUCAGGAGGAACAUCGGUGGCGAAGGCGGCUUACUGGGCUUUUACUGACGCUGAGGCUCGAAAAGCGUGGGGAGCAAACAGAAUUASAUACCCUGGUAGUCCACGCUGUAAACGAUGAUUACUAGGUGUGGGGGGRACUGACCCCUUCCGUGCCRCRKWUAMACAUAWKUAAUCCACCUGGGGAG